GACGAACGCUGGCGGCGUGCCUAAUACAUGCAAGUAGAACGCUGAAGGAGGAGCUUGCUUCUCUGGAUGAGUUGCGAACGGGUGAGUAACGCGUAGGUAACCUGCCUGGUAGCGGGGGAUAACUAUUGGAAACGAUAGCUAAUACCGCAUAAGAGUAGAUGUCGCAUGACAUUUGCUUAAAAGGUGCAAUUGCAUCACUACCAGAUGGACCUGCGUUGUAUUAGCUAGUUGGUGAGGUAACGGCUCUCCAAGGCAACGAUACAUAGCCGACCUGAGAGGGUGAUCGGCCACACUGGGACUGAGACACGGCCCAGACUCCUACGGGAGGCAGCAGUAGGGAAUCUUCGGCAAUGGACGGAAGUCUGACCGAGCAACGCCGCGUGAGUGAAGAAGGGUUUCGGAUCGUAAAGCUCUGUUGUAAGAGAAGAACGAGUGUGAGAGUGGAAAGUUCACACUGUGACGGUAUCUUACCAGAAAGGGACGGCUAACUACGUG
rnacentral:rRNA from 1 species